UACAGAGGUCCCGAGCGUUGUUCGGAUUCAUUGGGCGUAAAGCGCGUGUAGGCUGCUUCAUAAGUCGGAUGUGAAAGCCCUGGGCUCAACCUAGGAAGUGCAUUCGAAACUGCGAAGCUUGAGUCCUGGAGAGGAAGGCGGAAUUCUCGGUGUAGAGGUGAAAUUCGUAGAUAUCGAGAGGAACACCGGUGGCGAAGGCGGCCUUCUGGACAGUGACUGACGCUGAGACGCGAAAGCGUGGGGAGCAAACAGG
rnacentral:rRNA from 1 species